ACCUCUUUUACUCCUCUCGUUUCGGCUCAAAUUCAAAUUAGGGCUCAAAAUUUUGAAAUUUCUUUCCUGAUACAAAACUCUCCCCCAAUUAUCUCUCCAUCUCCUGAAACAAAAGUUGUGAGAAGACUCUCUCCUCCAUCUCCUCCCAAACUCUCACGCACGACCACCGACGCCAAUGGCAGAUCCACCACCGCCACCCGUCUCUCUCUCUCUCUCGGCUUUGGCUACUUACUAAUCUGUGGUCUCUUUGUCCAGGAAGGACCAAAUACUCUUGUUUGUGCCACCAGCCCCUACCUGUCAAGCCUUUACCAAGGCAAUCUUCAGAGCCAAAGAAGCAAACCACCAAUUCAUUCAUGUGCCGUAAGAGUCACCGUUUAUAUAGUUUUUCCUUCACUUUCAAGAGCUAAAAGUGAUGGAGGGUAAAAUGAAGGCAAUAUCUUGGCCUCAGGUUGAAUCAAAGGCCAAGACAAAAAGAUGAAUCUGUGGCUUCGGGUUCCAGAAUUGGUAGUCCCUGGUCAACUGAUUUGGUUAAUAGCAAACCCCAACAAUUCAGAACAAGUAGUUGAUUUCCUCCACUGCAUGAAGACAGAUUUGGAGAUUCGUCGUCAAAUUAAUAAAGUGCUUGAGGGAUGUCCCCAUGUAGAUAUUUUUAUCGAGUGUAAAUAAACUGUAGAGGAUGAAAUUGAGAUGGAGUUCUGUCAGUUGAGACAGAAUUUUUUCAAGUGGAAGACAAUCGCAUCGAUGAGCAUGAUUGCCAUUGUAUGAACGGGAGCGAUACUUUUGGAGACACAAUUUGAAUUUUAGCGUUAUCUAUGUUUUCCUAUUCUAGAGUUUGAUUGAAGAGUUUCUAAGUUUAAUUGCUCUUUGUAUUACUUUUCAUGUUGCUUCUUGUGGAUGACACAGUGUUUGAUUUGGAGAAAUAGUAGACAAAAAAUGAUGGUUU